GUGCGUUUGAGACCAUUUUUGUAUUGUUGGGGGAGUGUGAGGUGAUUUCAUUUCAGGAUUUCGUCUAAUGACAGUGCGAUGUUUACGCCUAGGUAAGUUAGUGAUGUCGUUCUCCAGUCAAAGGGGUAGUUAUCUUUCAGUAUUGUUUUGGUGGCUAAGGGAAGCCCAACAGGGAGGGCCUGGGUUUCAUCUUGAUUCAGGCGAUAAUGGGAGAUGUUGCCGAAUGUCUUCAGGGUUUCCAUGAGGGGUGGUAGAGAUCGCUGGGGGUUCCCUAAUUUAUCAAAAUGUCAUCG